GUUUGAGAGAAAUUAACUGAACUGGGUAAAAUUCACAUAACUUGGCAUUCUCUGUCCUAGGAGAUAAGAAAUGGCAUUCUUUUUUAAAAAAAUAUUUAAAUCCAAUUUACCAACAUAUAGAAUAACACCCAGUGCUCAUCCCAUUAAGUACCCUCCUUAGUGCCCAUCACCCAGUAACCCCAUAUCCCCUCCCUCCUCUUCUUCUGCAACGUGGUUCCCAGAGUUAGGAGUCUCUCAUUGUUUGUCUUCCUCUCUAAUUUUUCCCUACUCAGUUUCCCUUCUUUCCCUGUAGUUCCUUUCACUAAGGAAAUGGAUGGCACUCUUAAUGAUGGAAAAAUCCUGAUGUCAGCCUCUUGAUUUAGUUCUAUUGGAGCCUUAGCUCAUCACUUAACUUCACUGAGUCUGAUCUUUCAUUAGUAAAAUGAGAGAUAACCUAUCUGACAACCAGAUAAAGAGGAAUAAAGUUUGCAAAGCACUUAAGCCAUCUACAGGAUGAUUUGAAGAGAAAAAGAUAAUAAUCCAACUUGGAUUUUUCUUUGAUGACAUGGCAGAUUGUCCUGGUGGCAUAAUUUAUAGGCCCCUUUCUUUGUCCACAAAGGGUUCUCAGGACCUGGAACAGCGUUUCCCUGAAACUGUACUAAUUUUUGGCGCAUACCAGGCAUUGACCAUGAACUAGAUUUUGAACACAAAAAUCAAGUGGGACCAGAUCAGGCCACCAAAGUUCUCCUUUUCAUUUUUCUUCUGAUAAAUGCCACAGUACACAAACAUUGAAAAAGAAAAACAUGAAGAAGGUAUCUGUAAAGCAAACUGACAUUUUGAAAACUUUGCCCAAGAAUUUUUGUAGAUGAAUACUGAAUGCAAGCAAGGUCACAUCUCAAAUAUGAGCAUCACCCAGAGGUUGCCCAGGUGAUCCUAGGCCAUCCUGAGCAUGCAGCUGUGCAGGGCUUGACCUUGAAGGACAGAUGGCAUCAAGGGGAAUUCUUUUAUACCUUGUAUUGGCCAGGGCUCAGCUUCUGACAUUUCUGUCUACAGACGACAAAAGGCUUUCAUUGUAAGCUGCUUUCUGAUGCGUGCUUAAAACCAAGUUGAACACAUUAAAAGGGAGAAGAGGCAGAAAUGUACUCGCUGUGCUCCGUGAAGAAUUAAAAAAAAAAUUUUAUGGAAGUCGAUGAAAGGGAAAUAGAUUUUUUAAAUCUUUAUGCCCUCUUCCCCCAGAAUUGGGCUUAAUAUUUAUUUCAGGUUAAUUAUAAUUCUCCAUUCAUUCCAAUACACAUUUAUAUUAUGUUCCAUAUUAUAUUUCCUCUUAAAAAUUGACAUUUAAAAUGUUUCACACAAAUUAUAUUUAGCUGAGUUUGCUCUCUAUUUCUGAUCUGAAUAAUAUCAUGAUUCUUGCAAUCCCAAACCUUCCCUCAGUAAAAUUUACUGUCACCGGGGUAUGGUAUGCUUUCAAGGCUCCCCUCUAAUUUUUUUUCCUUUUUCAACUAUAAUGCUUUCUCAGACCUCCUUUUCUAUAAUGUUACCAAGAUUCUUUGAAGUAUUAUCUGAUUUCAGAACUAAGGCUUAAACAUUCCUCUUCAGGAGACUUUAUAUAACCCUCUAUCCUUCUAAUUUAGUACUUCAGUCCACCAUGUACCAACUGUAGUCCUCUUGACCCAGCAUUUUUCUGGAAAGUACAAGGCAAAAAUUUGUGAAAUUCAGUUCUUGAUCUGAUUACACGGGGGCUACGUGCUUGAAUGAAAAAUAAUAACAGCUACCAUUUACUGAGUGGUUUUAGCGUCCCGGGCAUUGUUUUAACUGUUCUACAUGUAUUCCUCCCUUAGUCUUCACCAUGGCCUGGAGGAAAUAGGUCAUAUUAUUAUUAUCAGCCCCAUUUUCCAGAUGAGCACAGAGAGGUCAUUGAACUUUUAUAAGGUCGCAGGACACAUCAGUAGCAUCAGGGUGCUAGUUCAG
rnacentral:lncRNA from 1 species